UUAUACGCAUUCAGCGGGAGAGUUGCAGAGUCGCAGUGAUGGCGCUCGGCUCAAACAGCGUAUCCCUGGGUGAGCUAUGCAAUCUUUGUACGUCCAUAGGCUGUCUCAAGUGUCAAUCAUAGAAAACAUGAACCUUUAAUAACUUUAGAAAUGGAGCGAGACAGAAAAAAAGAGGACUUGAGCACAAACCAGUCUUACUGUAACUACAUGUCAACAUCACAAGCAGGGGGGAGAAAAAUUUAUAUUCUGUGUAAUUAAUUUCUAAAAUUUGUCCACAGCUCCAUAAGGAUGGUUGGCGGAGGCGGGAUUUAUGACCUAUACUGCAGCUCGUCACCAGAGGGUGCUGUUCUCAGAGUGGCUUCACCUACCGGGGAGGCAGACUCUGUCCAUUCUAUGUACAGUCUAUGGUGAAAACAUGCUCCUAAGAAACGAGACGUCACUAGAUUCCAGCUAAGCCAUCAUACCUUGCCACUUGCUGGCCGUGUCGUACGCUGAUGCAACAAUACCGGUAAACAAGUGGAAAAACAACGCCUACUGUUGUAACAUUUAGCUAUUGUAGCAAUAGCAGUCUGACAUCAGUGUAGCUAUCGAUAGCUCGUCAAAAUGCACAAUUUUAAAAUGCUGACAGUUCAAAACAUAACUAAUAUUUACGUGGAGUAGCGUAAGUUUAAUUAUGAAAAUAUCAAAAUCAUACCUCUUGCUUUCAAGUGAGGUCCCGGUUUGUCUUUGUUUCAAGGACUGUGUACCCCUUGCCCCGUACCCUUAACCUUACGGAGAAUUGGGACACUCCUUGGCUUGACAUGAACACGCAAAACUGAGGGCUCAGGGGUAAGACAAGGGUUAAGGGGUACAAUGGGCUCUAUGCACAGCUCCACUACUUCUUGAACUUAAGGCAGCUCCUUCAUUUUCUGUCUUACAUUAUUGGAUAAACUGAUUAAUCCAGGCGUGUCUGAUCAUUAUGACUGCCUAGACACACCUGGAUUAAUCAGUUUAUCCAAUAAUGUAAGACAGGAAAUAAAGGAGCAGCUUUACAUUCAAGAAGUAAUAGAUUGGUGCAUAGAGCCCAUUGGGAUUGGCCAUAAGAGUCAAGAAGUUCCCAAGAAAUGAGUGGGAAAAAAUGUAUUGAUUCACUUGUUGUCACUUAUUGUAUCGAGUGUCCAGUAUCAGCCAUAUAAACCUUCUCUGGAGGACUAGACUGCAGGUAACCUGAGGUAAGAACAAGACAUGUUUCUAAUCACCUGAAAUUUUUAGGAUUUCACCAACUCUUAAAAGGAUUGUCUGGUAUUUUCGUAGUCAGGUUCUUUAAAGCGGUGGUGGUGUUGUUGUUGACAGAGCUCCAAAUCCAGCCACAAGGUUUACUGUUAAUCAAGAGUUAUUGGAUGCACCUGUGACCUUCCUCAGCUGGGAGUAAUAAGCAGCGGCUGGGGGGGCCAUGAGUGCUCCAGUUCAGCUGGGUUUUUGCUCCUCAGGAGGCCAACAUCUUCACACAGGUAAUUUAUUUCCUCCUUAAUCUUUUACUCUUGUCUUCUAUCAUUUUGACAGAGUUAGUAGGUGUCUGUGGAAAAGUUUUUCCACUGAAAAUACACCUACUUUGUUUCAGCUUUUUUUGAAAGGUGCCAUUUUUGUGAGUUUCCCAACCUGAGUCUGGGGAAAUGUAACAGCAUUUUUGGGCUGUUUGAAGGGCAAGGGUGAAAAAACCGAAAGGAUACCAGCUGUAUGCCAUGAGUUGUGAUUGCAUUUUUAAGAUUGACACUUUAAUCCACUUUAUUCUGGUAAAUAUUUAGGCAACAUUCAGUGAUGCAAAAUGAUUGAGCCCUGCUUCAAAAGUCCCCAAACUCCUUACUCUUCUUUUACCUGCAGUUACUCAAUUUAAAACAAUCAACAUGAUCACGCCACAGCGGACUGACUUGUGAAUAUGAAGCACUGAUCUCUUUCCAAUCUGAAACUCUGGAGGAGAGACACGUUCCUCUGAUCCUGUUUCAACAAACACGUUUCAUGAAAGUGUGUGAUUUCACAGCAUUAAAAGAGAGAUUGCAGUAAGAAAAGCUGUCAGCAUGUUCUGUUUCAUUUGUUACAAUAUCUACAUGAGGAUUUUCUGUUCAUGUAUGCUGGUGCUUCUGUGCUCAAGUGCGUUUCCAGGCAGCUGUACAGUUUGUGUGUCAGGGUGUAAUUGUGUUUCUGUGCUUUCAUUUAUGAGUUAGGAACAUUUAAUAAGCCUAGGGGUUUUACUCCAAUCACAGUGCGAAACUUUGAAAAAGUACUGCACUUCUAUUCGUUUCAGCAUACAGUGCACUGUCUCUAAAGUAGUACUUUCCAAACUUUACUUUUAAUACCAAAAUGAUCUUUUGUACUGGACUAAAUGUCAGUCUACCCAUUUAAUCUAAAUACAAGGUCCAGGGGCUUUUUCUGAAAUCUAAUACUCCAGGUUUUUUCAUUCAUUUUCAUACUUUAUUUCAUUCGGUUAAUAUUUAAAAUAUUCAAUACAAACAAGGAGAAAUCUCAAACGUGAAUGAAAAUGAGCAGAAAGAAGAAAACUCUUAUAAAGUCUGCCCCUCUUUCAUAAUACAGUAAAAUUAUCAACUAAACACAAUAAAAAUAAAAAGAGCUGCAGGCAAACGUGUUUUUUUUCAGUUCAGUAUUUCUUAUUUUCAAAAAGAACCCACAAAACAAACAGAAAAGACCACGUUAAUUCAUAUUUUUACACAAAACAAACAUACCAAGACUUUGAUUAACAUGUUUCCCUGUAUUUACUCAACAUUCUGGCUUUGACACUUUUUUUAUAGAUAAAAUUUGAUUUAGCUUCUUUUGUUUCUUUGUUCAGAUUGUUCCACAAACUUAUUCUUCUCACUGUAACACAGCGCUCUUUCUGUGAAUCUUGGCUUUUUAAACAUUUCAGAUCCUUUUUAAAUUAUAACAACUUUAUCUUUUUCAAAUCGGCUCUGGAUUUUGACUGGUAAAUUUUUCCUAUGAGCUUUAUACAUAAUCUGCAACAUACCGAAAUCUACUAACUCAUUGAAUUUCAACAACAGCAAUUUAACAAAUAAUGGGUCUGAGGGAUCUUUGUAUUGACUUCUACUAAUAUUCAUAUUGCUCAUUUUUGUAAAAUGAAAAUCGGCAGGAUGGAAGUUUUGCAUGCGCUUCCUCACACUUCAACACAGUAGGUCAGAUAUGGAACAAUAAUCGAACUAUACAAGAGGUACAAAGCUUUAUUAUCUAUGUAGUCUUUUCAUCACGAUCAAAAUAACCACAAUAGAGUCACAGCAGAUCUCCACAAUCUAUUCAAUCAGCCAUAUGUAGAAAUGAGUGUACAUACAUUUAAUUCAAUAAUUAGCUAUAAAUAUAAUGAAUCAUAUCAUUCGCACAUUAAUUCCAACACACAAUGACACAGC